AACAAUUGAAAGUUCCUUGUCGAAGAACAAUACAGGAGUUUCUCUCAAAGGAUUGAAAAUUACGACCGUUUCCUAAUAAUUCCAUAGGGAAGUAAAUCUGUAAAUGUUUAAGGGUUCGCUUUUUCAUAUGCAAGAGUUGCUCCACUCGAUCCUCAACCUUGAUGUGCUUUGCAAUUUUGAUUCAAUCGAUUUGCUCUUCCAAUGGUUUAAUACGUUGAUAAUAAUCAGGACAAAGGUGAAUUUUGUCAUUAUCUUAUAGAUCAAUAUUAAAUUUUGUUAUUAUACUUUACUUUUAUUUAAUUUUGUUAUUAUACUUUUAAUUUUAUUUAUAGAUAUCAAAUUUUAUCUAAAUUUUCUAAGUUGGGCCUUAAUUUUACCGAGUUGCCUUAAAUUUAUUGAGUUUUGUCGGGUUGGAUUAUGCCCGUUAAAAUUUUUAUCUGAGAUUACUGUCAUAAUGUAUAAAUUCGUAAACUUACCGUUAGAUAUGGUUAAAAGAGUCGCAACUAAUCUUUUUUUUUUUGGUGUGAUUGGCUACCUGAAGUAUAUUCUAACCUGCGAAAACAGAUAUUAGGUUCGAGAGUCAAUUAUGCUUGGAGAAGGUUAUAGCACCCCCACAAUGCCCAUCCAUAAGAUGACACUAGUUUGAUUUCGAAUUAUCCAUGCUUUAAUCAUUUUUAUGAUUUUAUCAAUUAAUUUAAUAUUAAAAAUUAAUCAUAAAAUUAUCCAAAUAGUUUGGUAGUAAUCUAGGGUAAUUCUCUCACCUCAAGAGUAUUAAUAGAGAUUAAUGUCCCACUUUAAAGAGGCUCCACCAUCAGAUUUAUUAAUUUUUAUUUCAAAAAAAUUACUAAAAGCCUUCUAAUAGUUUGAUAGAGCUCACUUCAAAGCAAUAUUCUAAUAAUUUAGAGGAUAAAAAUUAUUAUGGUUAUUUGAAAAUAUAUUUCUUUAUUUUUUAUUGAAAAGAUAUUUUUUUAUCUAUCUUCAUUUUCUUUUAAAAUUAUUUUUUUACUUCAUUUUCAUUCAUUUUUUUUACCUCAUCUUUUUUAUUUUCACUCUUUUGGAAAUAAAAGUGGCAAAAAUAAUUUUUUUCUUUUUUUUUUAAAGAAUAAAACUAGAAAAUAAUAAAAAAUAAAUUAAAAAUAAAAUAAAAUUAAAAUUAAAAUUAAAAUAAAAAAAAGAAAACCUGCAAUCGAGUUAGGUCAGAGCGCGAGUCAACACGCAGGUCACCAGGUCUGCGCUCAGAUCCUACCUUAUUCAAAACGACAUCGUUCAAUAGCGGUAUAAAAGCUAACCCUCAACAUUUUUCCUUAAAAACCAUCGAGCUCUUCUCUCUCUACCCUCUAUUUUCUCUACUUUCUCUCUAAAAAUGCCCACCAAAAACUUCAAUCGGGUAUUGGAAUCCCAUAAAAAAAAACUAGAAAAAUUCCAAAAAAAUCCACAAAAAUUCCUAAACCGUUGUAAACCUUCUCUGAACCUCCUACAACUUUAAAUUUACCUCUAGAAACCUAAAAUCCCACCAAAACUUCAAAUCAAAUCCAAAAUUUCAAUUUUCAAAUCCUAGAAACCCUUAUUGCCAAAAUUCUCCUAAUAAUUUCCUUCUUAAUUUUUCCUUAUGUUUUUAUGUGUUUUUCGUAUCCUUGUUCUGUAGAAUUGGUCCAAUUUAUAGGUAGGCUUAGGAACAAUUUUAAGAAAUCGAUAGAAUCAAUCCCAGGUUUGAACCUUGGGAUUGCAUUCUAUCCAGCGUGAUUUUUGGUUGCAAAAUUUUCGUUGUUAAUAUGAUGGUGUGUUUGACCCUAUUUUCUCACCCCCGUGCAGAUUUAAGCAAAAAAGGAAAUGAAGAACAAAAAAGAAAAAGAAAAGAAGAAAAAAAUGAAAAUAGAAAUAUAAUAAUAAUAAUAAUAAUAAUAAUAAUAAUAAUAAUAAUAAUAAUAAUAAUAAUAAUAAUAAUAAGAAAAGAAACACAGAAAAAGAAAAAUAAAAAAAGUGAUAAUAAUAAUAAUAAUAAUAAUAAUAAUAAUAAUAAUAAUAAAAGAAACACAGAAAAAGAAAAAAAAAGAAAAGUGAUAAUAAUAAUAAUAAUAAUAAUAAUAAUAAUAAUAAUAAUAAUAAUAAUAAUAAUAAUUUAUAAAAACUAUUCCAUUGGACUUGAGCAUGGAAGUGCCUAAUUUGACCUAGAAACAAUGGGCCUAAUCGAGCUCGGACAUCAAUGGGCCUAAUUAGGUCUAGACAUCGAUGGGCCUAAUUGAGCUUGGAUGUCAAUAGGCUUAAUCGGGCUUGGACAUCAAUGGGCCUAAUAGGACUCGAACAUAAAUUGAUGUCUAUAGCUACCUCUUUUUGCAUAUCUUUGUUAGACAAAAAUGAUGCAAAGACUCAGACACCUUUAGUAGAGAAACCAUAUUUCAUUAUCCUGAAUAUUUAUCUUCACUAUACAUUUUAGUGAAAAAAUCAUCCUUUAUUAACUUGGAUACACAUAUUUGGUAAAGAAGCUAUUUUUCAUUAACCUGAAGGUGCAUCUUUGGCAAAGAAACCAUCUUUCAUUAGCCUGGAGGCACAUUUUUGGCAAAAAAACUAUUUUUCAUCCACUUGGAAGCACAUCCUUAGCAAAGAAGCCAUCUCUCAAAGAGAGCCAUGAAAGUCAUUUUUGUUUUGUUUUUGUUUUUGUUUUUGUUUUGUUUUUUUUAGGAGGCAUUCAUCCUUUGCCUUUAUCUUCGUUGAUUCUUCAAGACAACACACAACUUCUUAUGACUUUGUUCAAUUAUUAAUCAUUAUCCCAGUUUUAGCGUGUGGGAUGCAAGUUAUGCAUUUUUUCUAUUUAUGAAUAGGUACAAAGAGAAAAGACAAAUAUAUUGGCAAUGUAUAAAACUAAGAGAGAACAAUAAGACAACUUUAAUUUAUUUGGAUAAGCAAUAAAUUACAAAGAGGCUAUUCAGGAAUAACUAUUUGGGGUAGCAAUGCCCCAAGACAAAUGAUUAGAUAACCAUGUCAACAAAUCUUGGAUCUCUUUUAAAAACUCAAUCGAGAUAUGAUGUCCCGACACCUCAAAGUUCUUUGAAAUUCACUAUCAUUGAUAUGUCUUCCAAGUGAGGCCAUACUCUAUUCAAGUUGCCUUUCAAGGUUUCAACCUGAACCUCUUCUUUUGGAUCCAAGUUGCUCUUUCAGGUUUUCAACUUGAUUCCCUCUUUUUUUUGUGUUAAGCAAAAUACUUCUUCACUAUAUCAAAAUUACCAGGAUCGAAAAGUUCAUCUCAGUCCCCUUCUGAUAGAAUUAAUGCUCCUCUUGAAAAGGUUCUUUUUACAAUAUACAAUUAUUCCCAAUUCGGGGUCUAUUUCCCUUUAUCAUCAUACUGACUUGAAAGAAUUCUUUUCAAUACCAACUCUCAUUAUCGAAAUUGACGAGGUCUAACUUUUUUAUCAUGAGCUCUUAUCAUCCUCUUUUGGUACAAUUGGCCAUGGCAAAGUGUCGUCAAUCUCUUCUCUUCAAUAAAGUUCAAUUGCUCAUAGCAUUCAUGAAUCCAUUCAGCUUCUUCUAAUCCAACUUCCUUUAUGACCCUUAGCGAUGGGAUUUUUACUUUUACUGGCAAUACAACUUCCAUCCCAUAAACCAAGGAAAAAAGAAUUGCCCCAGUAGAAGUGCGUACAGAAGUUUGAUAUGCAUGUAGAGCAAAAGGCAAUUUUUUGUGCUAGUCAUUGUAUGUUUCAGUCAUCUUCUCCAAAAUUCUUUUGAUGUUUUUAUUUGCAACUUUCACUAUCCCAUUCAUUUUUAGACGGUAUGGAGCUAAAUUGUGAUGUUUGAUAUUGAAUUGAGCACACACUUCUUGCAUCAUCUUGCUAUUUAAAUUCUUAGCAUUAUCUGAGAUGAUUCUUUUUGGGAGCCUAUAUCUGUAAAUUAUUUCUCUUAUGAUGAAUUUGCAAACCACCAAUCUCGUCACGGUUGUGAAGGAGGCAGCUUUGACCCAUUUAAUGAAGUAAUCAAUCAUAACAAAAAUGAAUCUAUUCUCGUUUGAGGCCUUUGGUGUGAUAGGCCUAAUGACAUCUAUCCCCCACAUAGAAAAUGACCAAGGUGGCGCUAUGAUAUGUAAAGCAUUGGGCAAAACAUUAAUUUUAUCAGCAGAAAUCUAGCAUUUGUGACAUUUUGACCAUAAUCAAUGCAAUCUUUUUUCAUUGUCAACCAGUAAUAUCCAGCUUGCAUGACCUGUCUUGCCAUUAUAUGUUCAUUUGCAUAUGCUACACAUACACCAUUGUGCACCUCCAAAUAAGAUAUGUAAAAUCGCCUAUAAGGAAAACUCAGUUGGCUUAAAUGGGCAAUACAUGCUUAUCGGCUAUCUGACUAUCGUAUUCUUCCAAAAGUCUACUUUCCGCUAUAGUGUGGAAUCUUUAGUUGGCUUUUCAAAUUAAAUCAUCCAAAGUAUAAUUUAGGUAAGAUUUUUUUUUCUUUUUUCUACUAUUUUGGAUAAAAUUUUGUUAUAAAUGUUAAAUGACUUCGUGUGCAUUGAUAAAAAAAACUUUGAAAUUAAAGAAAGUAGAUUUAAAAAAUUAAUACAAAGAAAAAUAAACAUUAUAUUUUAAUAGUAACCAUCCAAUUAAACCACUUUUAACCAAGAUAUAUAGCCUUUAUUAUAAAUGCUGUGUCUGUCUAAAAGCCUAAAGCAAACAAUAGCUAAUUAGUAGUAUUACAAAUUAUAUAUUUGUGUAAUUUUUUAUUUGAAAUUAUUAAAUUUUAAUAAUUAAAAUUAAAAUUUUAAUAUUUUAUUAAUAAAUCAUAAAACCAUUGACAUAAUUAAGUUGUUACAAUAAUAGGACUUUGUUUCACUUGCUUAAGUAAAAAGGAUCUUAUCUAGAUAUGUGUUUUAUAAAAAAAAAAAAAAUUGCAAUAUAAGAAUAAAAGAAGGAAUUGAAUAUAUUAUAAUUUAAAAUUUAAAUUUAUUAGAUGAUAUCAUAAAAAUAAUUAUAUAAAUUAAUUAAAUUAAAUUUUAAAUUGAGAUGCCCGUAUUUUUCGACGUCACGUAAAAUCAAAUACUUUAAUUGGGGUGGGGUGGGGUGGGGUUGGGGGAGAGUUACUUGACUCAUUUUAGAAUAACAGUAGUUAGUGUGUCAAUUACUCCCCUCCCGUGUUGGUCAGCUUCCCUUAAUUUUGCAAACAUUAUUAAUAAUUUAUUCGGAAGUUAAUGCUUGCAAUGGACCAUCGGCGGCUAAUGCUUUGCAGAAGCUAAAGCUAAUUAACGUGAACAAUUAAUUGAAGUUGAAAUCGAUAGCCAGCCGUCAAACUGAAAAUUAUUUUCUGGACGAAGUCUGUCACAAUUCAAAUACGUAUGUUUCUUUGCGAAGUUUAAUUAAAUGCAAAAAUUAAACAAUUGAAAGUUCCUUGUCGAAGAACAAUACAGGAGUUUCUCUCAAAGGAUUGAAAAUUACGACCAUUUCCUAAUAAUUCCAUAGGGAAGUAAAUCUGUAAAUGUUUAAGGGUUCGCUUUUUCAUAUACAAGAGUUGCUCCACUCGAUCCUCAACCUUGAUGUGCUUUGCAAUUUUGAUUCAAUCGAUUGCUCUUUCAAUGGUGUAAUACUUUGAUAAUAAUAAGGAUAAAGGUGAAUUUUGUCAUUAUGUUAUAGAUCAAUAUUAAAAUUUGCUAUUAUACUUUACUUUUAUUUAAUUUUGUUAUUAUACUUUUAAUUUUAUUUAUAGAUAUCGAAUUUUAUCUGAAUUUUCUAAGUUGGGC
rnacentral:lncRNA from 1 species